AUGAACGCUGGCGGCGUGCCUCAUCCAUGCAGGUCGAGCGAACAGACGAGGAGCUUGCUCCUCUGACGUUAGCGGCGGACGGGUGAGUAACACGUGGAUAACCUACCUAUAAGACUGGGAUAACUUCGGGAAACCGGAGCUAAUACCGGAUAAUAUAUUGAACCGCAUGGUUCAAUAGUGAAAGACGGUUUUGCUGUCACUUAUAGAUGGAUCCGCGCCGCAUUAGCUAGUUGGUAAGGUAACGGCUUACCAAGGCAACGAUGCGUAGCCGACCUGAGAGGGUGAUCGGCCACACUGGAACUGAGACACGGUCCAGACUCCUACGGGAGGCAGCAGUAGGGAAUCUUCCGCAAUGGGCGAAAGCCUGACGGAGCAACGCCGCGUGAGUGAUGAAGGUCUUCGGAUCGUAAAACUCUGUUAUUAGGGAAGAACAAAUGUGUAAGUAACUAUGCACGUCUUGACGGUACCCAAUCAGAAAGCCACGGCUAACUACGUG
rnacentral:rRNA from 1 species